UGGUAGCUGAGUGGUAAAGCGCUUGACCCUCGAAACCAGGGAUCCCAGGUUCGAAUCUUGGUCA
rnacentral:tRNA from 1 species